UACGGGGGGUGCGAGCGUUGUCCGGAAUCACUGGGCGUAAAGGGCGCGUAGGUGGUUUGAUAAGGGCGUGGUGAAAGUCCGGGGCUCAACCCCGGAUCUGCCGUGCCGACUGUCAAACUCGAGGGCUGUAGAGGCAGACGGAAUUCCGGGUGUAGCGGUGGAAUGCGUAGAGAUCCGGAGGAAGACCGGUGGCGAAGGCGGUCUGCUGGGCAGUUUCUGACACUGAGGCGCGACAGCGUGGGGAGCAAACAGG
rnacentral:rRNA from 1 species